GCACCGGAGUUCGCCAGUUGCGCUCCGGCUGCGGUGGAGUGCGUUCAUCGUGAUACGAACCCGGUAAAGUCGCGUUCGAAACCGGAAAAUAAUAAAGUUAAAAUAAAAAAAAAACUUUCGUAAAAGUUCGUACCAAUCCGAGAGUAAAGAAGCAAGAGAACCGGUACAAAUCUGAGACGAGAAAUUAACAUGUACCGUAUUGAAUGGCAAGAGAAUAUAGCGGAGAACGGAAAUAUCAGAUUGAUGAAGUAACUGAAAGAGCAUGAAUUAAAACCGGCAAAGCGAGAAGAGGAGGGUAAAUUGUAAAGGGCUGGAUGGACGUUUGGUUGGUUGGGUAGAGGAGGGAAAGAGUGAUGCUGGUGGCGUAGCAAACAAGCGUGGAAAUAGUUCGUUGAUUAUGAUGGCGGUGAUGGAAUCGUUUGCAUCAAUUUAUAGUUGGGCCGUAUCUCCGCACUACAAAUACUGAAGUUAAAUGAAUUUAAAUGGCUCGUUAAACUUUUAAGUGUGAUGAUGGCCAUCGUGAUGUCCCCGCCGCCCCCGGACCGCCGCUCCCGGCUACCGCACACUCCAAACGCGGACAUCGGACCGACUGGAAUGAAACAAUCUUCCUAAUAGUGCAUGCACUUGUGUACUGUGUAGUUCAGUGCGCAAAUGUUAUUAGUUGUUCGUUUUUAUACAUAGUUUUCGUUCAGUUAUCCCAACCUUUACCCCACACGGAAAGAAAAUAAGGGAAUUAGAAAGAAUGGCAACCUCCCUGACAGGCGUAGGCAUCCUCUGGGCCACCUUGUCUCUAGCUGCGGCUCUCCUCUGCUGCACCGGCUUCUACCUACCCUUCUGGAUACAGGGGCGGCUCUUAGGGAAGGUCGACGCAUACUUCAGCUCGUUCAGACGCUGCAACUACCCCCGAGUGAGUCCCCAAGGGGUCGUCGAGAUCGUGGAGGAAUGCGGCCGGUACUCACGGUAAGGACACUUUUUAUUUCAACCAUUCUUAUUUCCGCGGCCUCUGCCUCUCAUUUCUUCCAUCCAACCCGUCUAUCCCUUUUUCGUCCUUGUCGCCUCAUCCACC